rnacentral:rRNA from 1 species
UACGUAGGGGGCAAGCGUUGUCCGGAAUCAUUGGGCGUAAAGAGCGUGUAGGCGGCCCGGUAAGUCCGUUGUGAAAGUCGAGGGCUCAACCCUCGAAUGCCGGCGGAUACUGUCGGGCUAGAAUCCGGAAGAGGCGAGUGGAAUUCCUGGUGUAGCGGUGAAAUGCGCAGAUAUCAGGAGGAACACCAAUGGCGAAGGCAGCUCUCUGGGCUGACACUGACGCUCAUGCACGAAAGCGUGGGGAGCAAACAGG